AGGACGAACGCUGGCGGCGUGCCUAACACAUGCAAGUCGCACGAACGGUUUCGGCUGUUAGUGGCGGACGGGUGAGUAUCGCGUAGGGAUUUAUCGUUGGGUGGGGGAUAACCUUGGGAAACUGGGGCUAAUACCGCAUGACGCCUGAGGGCCAAAGUUGAGGCGCCUGACGAGAAGCCUGCGUCCGAUUAGGUAGUUGGUUGGGUAAUGGCUGACCAAGCCUGCGAUCGGUAGCUGGUCUGAGAGGAUGAUCAGCCACACUGGGACUGAGACACGGCCCAGACUCCUACGGGAGGCAGCAGUGGGGAAUAUUGGACAAUGGGCGCAAGCCUGAUCCAGCAAUGCCGCGUGGAUGAAGAAGGUUUUCGGAUUGUAAAGUCCUUUCGGCGGGGACGAUGAUGACGGUACCCGCAGAAGAAGCCCCGGCUAACUUCGUGCCAGCAGCCGC
rnacentral:rRNA from 1 species